CUUGGAUGAUGAAAGUUAGCCAAAUCAUAUUUUGAUGUGCUCCUCUAGAUACCAUUUUUAUCUGUUCCCCUGGUGAAGAUUCUUUUCUUUGCCAGGCACAGGCACAAGA
rfam:Brachypodium distachyon strain Bd21 chromosome 1, whole genome shotgun sequence.